ACGAACGCUGGCGGCGUGCUUAACACAUGCAAGUCGAACGGUGAAGCGCCUUCCUUUUUGGUGGGUGUGGAUGAGUGGCGAACGGGUGAGUAACACGUGAGUAACCUGCCCCCUUCUUCUGGAUAACCGCAUGAAAGUGUGGCUAAUACGGGAUAUUCUGGGUCUGUCGCAUGAUGGGUCUGGGAAAGAUAUUGUUUCGGUGGGGGAUGGGCUCGCGGCCUAUCAGCUUGUUGGGGGGGUGAUGGCCUACCAAGGCGGUGACGGGUAGCCGGCCUGAGAGGGUGGACGGUCACACUGGGACGGAGACACGGCCCAGACUCCUACGGGAGGCAGCAGUGGGGAAUAUUGCACAAUGGGCGCAAGCCUGAUGCAGCGACGCCGCGUGAGGGAUGGAGGCCUUCGGGUUGUGAACCUCUUUCGCCAGUGAAGCAGGCCUGCCUCGUUUGUGGGUGGGUUGACGGUAGCUGGAUAAGAAGCGCCGGCUAACUACGUG
rnacentral:rRNA from 1 species